rnacentral:rRNA from 1 species
GAUGAACGCUGGCGGCGUGCCUAAUACAUGCAAGUCGAGCGAACAGACGAGGAGCUUGCUCCUCUGACGUUAGCGGCGGACGGGUGAGUAACACGUGGAUAACCUACCUAUAAGACUGGGAUAACUUCGGGAAACCGGAGCUAAUACCGGAUAACAUGUUGAACCGCAUGGUUCAACAGUGAAAGACGGUCUUGCUGUCACUUAUAGAUGGAUCCGCGCCGCAUUAGCUAGUUGGUAAGGUAACGGCUUACCAAGGCAACGAUGCGUAGCCGACCUGAGAGGGUGAUCGGCCACACUGGAACUGAGACACGGUCCAGACUCCUAAGGGAGGCAGCAGUAGGGAAUCUUCCGCAAUGGGCGAAAGCCUGACGGAGCAACGCCGCGUGAGUGAUGAAGGUCUUCGGAUCGUAAAACUCUGUUAUUAGGGAAGAACAAAUGUGUAAGUAACUAUGCACGUCUUGACGGUACCUAAUCAGAAAGCCACGGCUAACUACGUG